rnacentral:lncRNA from 1 species
GGGGCUGAUCCGAUGGUUGUGGUUGAUGCCGUUGAGAACUAAACCAAAGAAGGGCUGAUUUGCACCAUCUGAUGGUCCAGAACCACCUGAUCACUAGAUCCAAUGGUUAGCAUCCUUUUCGACUUUGAAUAGGAGAUCUUUUGUGCUGAUCAAUGAUCGAAAUCAAAUCUAAUGAGUGAUCGGAUGGUUGAUAUUGUUUCUAACCAUGAUAAG